rnacentral:rRNA from 1 species
CCUGGUUGAUCCUGCCAGUAGUCAUAUGCUUGUCUCAAAUAUUAAGCCAUGCAUGUGCAAGUAUGAACAAAUUCAAACUGUGAAAUUGUGAAUGGCUCAUUAACUCAGUUAUAGUUUAUUUGAUGGUAUCUACUACUCGGAUAACCGUAGUAAUUCAAGAGCUAAUACGUGCAACAAACCCCGACUUUUGGACGGGAUGAAUUUAUUAGAUAAAAGGUUGACAUGGGCUCUGCCCGUUGCUGCGAAGAUUCAUGAUAACUCGACGGAUCGCACGGCCAUCGUGCCGGUGAUGCAUCAUUCAUAUUUUUUCCCUAUCAACUUUCGAUGGUAUGAUAGUGGCCUACCAUGAUGGAGAUGGGUGACGGAGAAUUAGGGUUCGAUUCUGGAGAGGGAUCCUGAAAAACGGCUACCACAUUCAAGGAAGGCAGCAAGCGCGCAUAUUACCCAAUCCUGACACGGGGAGGUAGUGAAAAUAAAUAAAAAUACCAGGCUCAAUGAGUCUGGUAAUUGGAAUGAGUACAAUCUAAAUCCCUUAACGAGGAACCAUUGGAGGGCAAGUCUGGUGCCAGCAGCUGCGGUAAUUCCAGCUCCAAUAGUGUAUAUUUAAGUUGUUGCAGUUAAAAAGAUCGUAGUUGGACUUUGGGAUGGGCCGGGCAGUCCGCCUAUGGUGUGCACUGGUCGUCUCGUCCCUUCUGUCGGUGAUGUGCGCUUGGCCUUAAUUGGCCGGGUCGUGCCUCCGGCGCUGUUACUUUGAAGAAAUUAGAGUGCUCAAAGCAAGCCUACACUCUGUAUACAUUUGUAUAGGAUAACAUUAUAGGAUUUUGGUCCUAUUACGUUGGCCUUCGGGAUCGGAGAAAUGAUUAAUAGGGACAGUCGGGGGCAUUCGUAUUUCAUAGUCAGAGGUGAAAUUCUUGGAUUUAUGAAAGACAAACAACUACGAAAUUAUUUGCCAAGGAUGUUUUCAUUAAUCGAGAACGAAAGUUGGGGGCUCGAAGAUGAUCAGAUACCGCCCUAGUCUCAACCAUAAAUGAUGCCGACCAGGGAUCGGCGGAUGUUGCUUUUAGGACUCCGCCGGCACCUUACGAGAAAUCAAAGUUUUUGGGUUCCGGGGGGAGUAUGGUUGCAAGGCAGAAACUUAAAGGAAUUGAGGGAAGGGAACCACCAGGAGUGGAUCCUGCGGCUUAAUUUGACUCAACACGGGGAAACUUACCAGGUCCAGACAUAGUAAAGAGGGGCAAGCUCCAGGCGCUGCACUCAUGCGGUCGAGCCCAAUUCGCUGACGAGCGCCGGUGGGCAGCGUGGGCGGCGCCCAUGCAUGAUCCUCGGCGUGCCUUAAUCUCCUCUACUCUCCCCACGGGCGGUCUAUCGUGUCAAGCGGGACUUGCUUCAGCCUUGCAACGUCCGCACGGGCAGCAGCGCAUGGCAUCUAUUGCUGGGCGUUGGGGCCGGUGCCGGGUGUGCAUCGACGGAGUAUUUGGAUGCACGGAGUAAGAGUUGUGUUCGACACGUACAGUCAGGUUGGAUCUCUGCUCGAGCAGCGAUGUCCUGACCCGCUUGCCAUCUCAGUCGCGAGUCAAUCGCAACGCAGGCUUGCUCGAAGUCAAUUUCCUAUGUUGCAUACCUAAUUCCUAGGCAUUAUCAAGUUUUAUCGGUCGCCUUUUGCCCCUCGCAUUUCGUGUAUGGGGCAAAUCGAAAGGCCGCGCUCGCAUCUCACGCCUCCCUCGCUUCAUCGUGCGGUGUUGUGGUCCGCGAGCGGCGGUCCG